rnacentral:rRNA from 1 species
UACAGAGGGUGCAAGCGUUGUUCGGAAUUAUUGGGCGUAAAGGGUGCGUAGGCGGUCGGGUAAGUCUGAUGUGAAAUCUCACAGCUUAACUGUGAAACUGCAUUGGAUACUAUCCGGCUCGAGGAAUGGAGGGGAGACUGGAAUACUUGGUGUAGCAGUGAAAUGCGUAGAUAUCAAGUGGAACACCAGUGGCGAAGGCGAGUCUCUGGACAUUUCCUGACGCUGAGGCACGAAAGCCAGGGGAGCAAACGGG